GAAAAGGUUGGAUAAUCUGGUAGGACACUACCCUGCCACGGUAGCGACCCGGGUUCAAAUCCCGGCCAUCGCA
rnacentral:tRNA from 1 species